AUAAGUGAAAUCCUUGGAGUAUACGAUGAGGGAAACUUUAGCUUCUUCAAUGCUUGGACAAACCUGGUUAUAUUAAACAUUUUGUCACAACUGUUUGCUGUGUAUUGCGUGGCUGCUGUUUUACAAAGUUCUAAAGGAAAAGUGUAGCCCUAUACAACCUGUUGGCAAGUUUCUCUGUGUGAAACUUGUGGUUUUUGUUUCCCUUUUGCAAGCAGUACUUAUUACAUUGUUGGUUAAAGUGGGCGUUAUUUCAGAAAAGCAUACCUGGUUAUGGCAAAGUGCUGAAGCUGUGGCCAUAGGCCUGCAGGGUUUCGUAAUAUGCAUUGAAAUGUUCUUUGUGGCAAUUGCCCAUCACUAUACGUUCUCU
rnacentral:lncRNA from 1 species